rnacentral:misc_RNA from 1 species
GAACGCACAUUGCGCCCAUUAGUAUUCUAGUGGGCAUGCCUGUUCGAGCGUCAUUUCAACCCUUAAGCUUAGCUUAGUAUUGGGAAUCUGCUUAACCGCAGCUCCUUAAAUCUAGUUGGCAGAGCACAGCUGUACUCUGAGCGUAGUAAUUCAUUAUCUCGCUUCUGGAAGACAGCCGUACGAUCGCCACAAACCUAUUUAUUUUUUAAUGGUUGACCUCGGAUCAGGUAGGAAUACCCGCUGAACUUAAG